UUCGGCGCAUGUGACUUAUAAAAUUAGAUUUGAUGGGGCAGUGUGAUGGCGAUUGCAUUGUCCGUAAUGCACGAACACGUCUCAUAAAAGUCAUGAUGUUUUUGUUUGGUUAGAAAGCACAAUCGUCGCGGAACGAACGAGUGACACCUUUCCGGGAAUGUCCGGUCCAUUUAAAAAUCAUUCCUGCCUCCUUCGCCCUGCAAGUGUAUACUCGUCAGACGUCAUGAAACGUUAUCAGAAGCGUCCACUUAAUUUGAGGGCUGAGCGGACAGGGGGUGUCGUUUAAGUGUUUGGAAAGCAACCCUAAAGCAAAUACAUUUGUACGAAGCUGAAUCAGGAAAUGAAUGUCCACUCUUCAUUGCAGAUCCCGCCUUCAUUCUUGUUUGAUAAUUUUUCUCGAAAUCUAAAAGCACAAUAUAGAUUUAAGCUAGUGUCUUAAGUAGCUGAACAUGUUAUUACUCCAACCAAGUGAAAGAGAGAAAUUACACGUUUUCAUUUUCAUCAAAAACAAAUGCAUUUGAGUUGACGGCUUGCGCAGUUCGGUGCGAGACAACCGUUAACCCGAAGACAUGUCUCUACCCAUGAGUUCAGCCAGACACCGUGUCAACUGGUUUUCUAUUGGAGAAGCAGCUUCUGCCUGUCUUGAUACUGUCCUUUCAUUGCCUUUGUUUUAUAGAGGAGACGGUAUGCUAUUCGGCCAAAAUGAGAAGUACCAGUACGGCGCUCCGGGCAGCACUGGUUACAGGUUGACUAGACAGAUCUAACAGUGUUGCCGACUCCUCAGUAUGGAAAGUAGCUAUUGGCGGUUCGUUUUUUAAUUUAUUUUUAUUUGUCGCUAGAGGGGUCUGAAUACUCGCUAAGUUGACAACACUGCGAUUCUAGAAUCAGCUUUAUCCAUCUCGAUAGACUAGACUGCCCAGAAGCUCACCGCCCGGAAGCUCAUCACCCGGACCGGAAGCUCACCGCCCGGAAGCUCAUCACCCGGACCGGAAGCUCACCGCCCGUCCACUGUGGACAUGUUGCCGUGGUAACGCCGGUGACUAAAACAUGUCUGCAAAAGUGAAACAAAGCAACAAGUCAGCGGAUAAAAAUACAAACGAUAGAAAUGACGUUGCGUCCAAAGAAAAUGAUGCUGAAAAAGCCAACCCUCAAUGGAAACUUAUUUCCCAUGAACAAAUCAACACGCUGUUGGAUUUGACAGUGGAACAAGUGCAAUUCCAGUUUGAAGAAAUACUUGGUUUGAAGAACUACCAGACGUGUCUGAAGGAGGCUUCCCUGUUGGACUACUUUGUCUCUGGCUUCUGGUGGACCAGGGAGAUGAACUACACCUGUCAACAGAUCUCAUUCAUCAUGGCUCUACUGCAAUUGUUACUGGACAAUAUCAGUGAGAAGCAGAUGCCGUUUGUUGAUAACCUGAAUGAGUUUGCCAAGAUGAUAUCAGGAACGCGCCAGUCUCCUUCUCCAGAGGUUGACUCACUGUUUGAUGCUGAGCAGGCCAUGUCCAUCACUGACUACCUGAAGUGCAGUCUCUUUCAGAACUACCAACUCUAUGAGUUUCUCUUCAGCCAACCUAGAGAGGAGCUGCUCCUUGGGAAGAAGAGGACCAUAGAGGUGAUCAGCUCAGCAGACUUUGUAGCCCCGUUGGAAGAAGGCAUGAAUACUGAUGACUACCUCCAUUACAUGACUCCUGUUGAACAGCAGGAAGAGGUACUGUACUGUACUGUAGGACUACCUCAUUACAUGACUCCUGUUGAACAGCAGGAAGAGGUACUGUGGGACUACUGAUGACAACCUCAUUACUCCUGUUGAACAGCAGGAAGAGGUACUAUACUGUAUUGUAGGACUACUGAAGACUACCUCAUUACAUGACUCCUGUUGAACAGCAGGAAGAGGUACUAUACUGUAUUGUAGGACUACUGAAGACUACCUCAUUACAUGACUCCUGUUGAACAGCAGAAAGAGGUACUGUACUGUAGGACUACUGAUGACUACCUCAUUACAUGACUCCUGUUGAACAGCAGGAAGAGGUACUGUACUGUAGGACUACUGAUGACUACCUCAUUACAUGACUCCUGUUGAACAGCAGGAAGAGGUACUGUACUGUAGGACUACUGAUGACUACCUCCAUUACAUGCCUCCUGUUGAACAGCAGGAAGAGGUACUGUGGGACUACUGAUGACAACCUCAUUACUCCUGUUGAACAGCAGGAAGAGGUACUAUACUGUAUUGUAGGACUACUGAAGACUACCUCAUUACAUGACUCCUGUUGAACAGCAGGAAGAGGUACUGUGGGACUACUGAAGACUACCUCAUUACUCCUUUUGAACAGCAGGAAGAGGUACUAUACUGUAGGACUACUGAUGACAACCUCAUUACUCCUGUUGAACAGCAGGAAGAGGUACUGUACUGUAGGACUACUGAUGACUACCUCAUUACAUGACUCCUGUUGAACAGCAGGAAGAGGUACUGUACUGUAGGACUACUGAUGACUACCUCCAUUACAUGCCUCCUGUUGAACAGCAGGAAGAGGUACUGUGGGACUACUGAUGACAACCUCAUUACUCCUGUUGAACAGCAGGAAGAGGUACUAUACUGUAUUGUAGGACUACUGAAGACUACCUCAUUACAUGACUCCUGUUGAACAGCAGGAAGAGGUACUGUACUGUAGGACUACUGAUGACAACCUCAUUACUCCUGUUGAACAGCAGGAAGAGGUACUAUAAUUGACUUUACCAUGGGCUCUGCUUAGGUUACUGCUCACAGCUGAUGUUUUUAUAUUUUCUUGUACUAUCUGGAUUUAAAAGACAAGUAGAUUAAUAAAUAGUACAUAUUGUA